rnacentral:sRNA from 1 species
UGUCGGUAAACUUGACGCGCUCAAAGGU